rnacentral:misc_RNA from 1 species
GAUCAUACAAGAACAGCCAAGAGUGUUUGCAGUUUUGCAUAAUUUUGAUAACAAAACAUGUAAAGUAUAUCAUAUCCACCAAAUGAGUAUGGUAAAAAAUUACAGAUAUUAAAAUAAAUGUAUAAUAAAAAAUAAGAUUAUAAAUAAUUGCAUUCGUUAGAGAAUGUAUAUAGUAUGUAUUAGAAAUAAAAUAAAAUAGUCAUCAUGAUUUAAUCAUGUUUAACACAAAAAAAUCAAAUAAUCAAGUAUAAAAAAAUGAUAAAUUAGUGGAAAAGAAGUGAGAAAAAGGAAGGAAUAAGCUAAGAUGAGGUGAAGUGAAAUAGUAUCGCCGAAUUUAUAAGUUUUAGAUAUUGAAGCGAAUUUAAUAUCUAAUAGAAUUGAAUGGAAAAAUAAUUUAUAUAAUUGACUUCAACUAAUUUAGAAAUAAAACUUAAUUGUUAUAGUUGUUCCAUAAUAGAACAUGCUACCUAGAAAGAAGAGAACAAAUUAAAGAUAGAAGUAUGGAUAGGAUUAAUGAAUCGCAUGGAAGAUUAUUAAACUAUUAAACGAAAUUAUGGGUAUAAAGAAUGGAGACGAUGAUGUCAGAAAUAGUGGCUAUAGAAAGGAAAACAAAC